rnacentral:rRNA from 1 species
UACGUAGGGGGCAAGCGUUGUCCGGAUUUAUUGGGCGUAAAGAGCGUGUAGGCGGCCAUACAGGUCAGCUGUGAAAACUCGAGGCUCAACCUCGAGACGUCGGUUGAAACCGUAUGGCUAGAGUCCGGAAGAGGAGAGUGGAAUUCCCGGUGUAGCGGUGAAAUGCGCAGAUAUCGGGAAGAACACCCGUGGCGAAGGCGGCUCUCUGGGACGGUACUGACGCU